rnacentral:rRNA from 1 species
AAGCUACUAAGAGCGAAUGGUGGAUGCCUUGACUGGUAGAGGCGAUGAAGGACGUACUAGACUGCGAUAAGCUAGGUGGAGCUGUCAAGAAGCUUUGAUGCCUAGAUUUCCGAAUGGGGCAACCCAGUAUAUAGAGAUAUAUACUACCAUAAUGGAGCGAACGAGGGGAAUUGAAACAUCUUAGUACCCUCAGGAAAAGAAAUCAAACGAGAUUGCGUCAGUAGCGGCGAGCGAAAGCGUAAGAGGGCAAACCCAGUGCUUGCACUGGGGGUUGUAGGACUGCAAUGUGCAAAAGGAAAGGUUAGCAGAACACUCUGGAAAGUGUAGCCAUAGAGGGUGAUAGUCCCGUAUGCAAAAACCUAACCUUAGCUAGCAGUAUCCUGAGUAGGGCGGGACACGAGAAAUCCUGUCUGAAGCUGGGUAGACCACUAUCCAACCCUAAAUACUACUACCAGAUCGAUAGCGAACAAGUACCGUGAGGGAAAGGUGAAAAGAACGGCGGUGAGCCGAGUGAAAUAGAACCUGAAACCAUUUGCUUACAAUCAUUCAGAGCACUAUGUAGCAAUACAGUGUGAUGGACUGCCUUUUGCAUAAUGAGCCUGCGAGUUGUGGUGUCUGGCAAGGUUAAGCUAACGCGAAGCCGUAGCGAAAGCGAGUCUGAAUAGGGCGCUAAGUCAGAUGCUGCAGACCCGAAACGAAGUGAUCUAUCCAUGAGCAGGUUGAAGCUAGUGUAAGAACUAGUGGAGGACCGAACCCGCUAGCGUUGAAAAGCUAUGGGAUGACUUGUGGAUAGGGGUGAAAGGCCAAUCAAACUUCGUGAUAGCUGGUUCUCUCCGAAAUAUAUUUAGGUAUAGCGUUGUGUCGUAACUAAAGGGGGUAGAGCACUGAAUGGGCUAGGGCAUACACCAAUGUACCAAACCCUAUCAAACUCCGAAUACCUUUAGUGUAAUCACAGCAGUCAGGCGGCGAGUGAUAAAAUCCGUCGUCAAGAGGGAAACAACCCAGACUAACAGCUAAGGUCCCCAAAUCUUACUUAAGUGGAAAACGAUGUGAAGUUACUUAAACAACCAGGAGGUUGGCUUAGAAGCAGCCAUCCUUUAAAGAAAGCGUAAUAGCUCACUGGUCUAGUGAUUUUGCGCGGAAAAUAUAACGGGGCUAAAGU